UCUUCGCUAGUAUAUCGGUUAGUACACGCGCCUGUCAUUGACUCUCGGACGCGCGAAAGCUGGGUUCGACUCCCAGGCGAAGAG